UACGGAGGGUGCAAGCGUUGUUCGGAAUCACUGGGCUUAAAGGGCGUGUAGGCGGGGCGGAGAGUGUCGGGUGAAAGCCCACGGCUCAACCGUGGAAUGGCUCGGCAAACUUCCGUUCUUGAGGCAGGUAGAGGUGACUGGAACGACUGGUGGAGCGGUGAAAUGCGUAGAUAUCAGUUGGAACGCCGGAGGCGAAAGCGGGUCACUGGGCCUGUCCUGACGCUGAGACGCGAAAGCGUGGGGAGCGAACAGG
rnacentral:misc_RNA from 1 species